AGAGUUUGAUUAUGGCUCAGGAUGAACGCUGGCGGCGUGCUUAACACAUGCAAGUCGAACGAAGCAGCUUCUGCUUGCAAGAAAGCUGACUAGUGGCGGACGGGUGAGUAACGCGUGGGUAACCUGCCUCAUACAGGGGGAUAACAGUUGGAAACGACUGCUAAGACCGCAUAACCCGCUAGUGUCGCAUGACACGGACGGAAAAUAUUUAUAGGUAUGAGAUGGGCCCGCGUCUGAUUAGCUAGUUGGUAAGGUAACGGCUUACCAGGGCGACGAUCAGUAGCCGACUUGAGAGAGUGAUCGGCCACAUUGGGACUGAGACACGGCCCAAACUCCUACGGGAGGCAGCAGUGGGGAAUAUUGGACAAUGGGGGAAACCCUGAUCCAGCGAACCGCCGCGUGAGUGAAGAAGUAUUUCGGUAUGUAAAGCUCUAUCAGCAGGGAAGAUAAUGACAGUACCUGACUAAGAAGCCCCGGCUAACUACGUGCCAGCCGCUGC
rnacentral:rRNA from 1 species